rnacentral:rRNA from 1 species
CCUACGGGAGGCAGCAGUAGGGAAUGUUGCGCAAUGGGCGAAAGCCUGACGCAGCAACGCCGCGUGAGUGAUUAAGACCUUCGGGGUGUAAAGAUCUGUCAGUGGGGACGAAACAAAUGACGGUACCCAAAGAAUAAGCUCCGGCUAACUACGUGCCAGCAGCCGCGGUAAUACGUAGGGAGCAAGCGUUAUCCGGAUUUACUGGGUGUAAAGGGCGAGUAGGCGGGCUGGCAAGUUGGGAGUGAAAUCCCGGGGCUUAACCCCGGAACUGCUUUCAAAACUGCUGGUCUUGAGUGAUGGAGAGGCAGGCGGAAUUCCGUGUGUAGCGGUGAAAUGCGUAGAUAUACGGAGGAACACCAGUGGCGAAGGCGGCCUGCUGGACAUUAACUGACGCUGAGGAGCGAAAGCGUGGGGAGCAAACAGGAUUAGAUACCCUUGUAGUC